GCAUUUUUUGUGAUCAGGUGAUGUGAUGUAUGAGUAUGAGAGAGGAAGAGAAAUAUACUAAAAAAAAAAAUUACUCAAACUCGGACAAAGACUAUCUCACUUUGCCAAACACGCUCUCUCUCUCUCUCUCUCAAAGCACGCCUCUCUCACUUUGCCGAAUUCCAAGCUUCCUCCUACAACAGAGUGAGAAUCAAAAUCACCGGCUUUCAAGGUAUCUUCUUCUCAUUUCGUAUCUUCCUCCUCCUAUCAUUACUCUCUUAUACGUCUAAAUUUCCAAAACCCUAAAAUUUCUGCAAAUUCUUGUUUUGGGUGAAAAAUCUAUGACUAAAUCAAGGAUUUUAAUUCUGAACAAAUGGAAUUUGUACAGUUAAAAAGGUACUACUUAGGUAUAGAAUUUUCGAGACAGAGCAAAGAAUUUGUACAUUUAGUGAACUGCAAAUUUCUUCCAAGAGUUGAAAUUAUGGGCUGAUUGAUGCGGAUUGAUAUGUUUUCUGUUUCACUGAGGCUAUGCUGAAUUGGUACAAAAUAAUAAGAAAUGAAAAGGAAAUUGAAAGUGAGAUUAAAAAAAAAUAUUCCAUGUUACACUAGAUUUUACAAGUAUUUGCUUGAUUUUAUGUUUUUUAAAGUGUGUAUAUAAUUGGACAUAUUAUCAUCAGUGGGUUUUACAGAGCAAAGAAUUUAUACAUUUAAUGAACUGCAAAUUUCUUUUAAGAGUUGAAAUUAUGGUCUGAAACCAACUUUUAGAGCUCCUCAAACUUGAUUAAAAUCUGAUCCAUCCGUGUGGUUGAUGCCUCCUCACCUAGAACAAAAUAAGUACAUAUAAAAUGUGUGUUUCUGAUAGACUUUUUUUUUAGCAUUGGUUUACCUUUACACCGGCCAUUGAUAAAAGUUUGUGAGAAGCAACAUAGGCACUUUCUGAAUUCUCCAACUUCUUUUCCACAUAAUAGAUAACUUCCAGACUGCAGUUGUAGAAAUAAAAUAUUAGCAAACAAUAAGAUCCAGAUGAAGUAAUGGAAAAUUAAAAAGAAGAAAGAGUAAGACCUACAUGCUACCAAUGGUAUUGGUGAUUAUAAUCAACUUUGACUGACCGUGUCUAAUGUCUUUGCCACUUGUGAUUGAUAGGUUUGGUGAAACAGAUACAACUUAUUUAGUCUAUGUAUGUGAUUUGCAAAGUAAGCAGCCAAGCCAUUAAAAUAAGUUUUUUCCGGCUGUACCUGAAAAGUAUGGGAAAUGGAACCCAACUUAUAUCUCUUAUGGAAGUUAAUUCUCCUCUAGACUCUUGUGGGCUAUUCAGAAUGAUUUGAAUUUUGAAAGUCUUUUAUCUUUGGUAGAUUUAGCCGAGGCUUUUCAUAUUUGCUAACAUUCGCGUAUUACUUUGGUAGAUUUGCACUAUCAAAUUAAUAUAUAAUGGGGUUCUUGGUUGUUUGUGAAGAUUUGAAUAAGUACGUGCUUAAGCUGUUAUGGUAACUCUUUAAAACUAAAGUUGUUAAAUAGGGGAUUAGAUAAUGUAUGUUAUGCCAAUUCUUAGCUCGUUACAUACUUGUAUUAUUUUGUGUUAGAUUUGGAUUAAUCAAAUGUGAGCUUAAAUGUGUAAUUAAAAUUGUCCCCUACAGUGUAAUUUGCUUACCAUUGAUAUUAGUUUGUUUAUCCUUUCAAUCUUAAUUGAUAAAUUCUAAAUAAUAUUGAAUAUGCAGGUUUGCUUUUAUGUUUUCUGGUAAACUAAUUUAAUGUCAUACACUUUUUUACAUAUCUAUGGCAUGUAGUUAAUAUAUUUUUAUAAAUUUGCAGAAAUAGCAUGUAGUGAUGAGUUUAAUUCAAGUAUGAGAAUAAAUGAUAUUGAAGAAUAUGUUAUGGUUGAGGAUUUAAUAGAGAGUAAAGAAGUUGAUGAAGUCAUUAGAGAUCCGAAAGUAGGAAUGGAGUUUGUUUCCGUUGAUUUAUACAUGGAAUCCAUGGUGAAAAUAAGAUCAAUGGAAAAAUGAGAAAAUGGAGAGACUAAAUUUGUGGUUCUUGCAUGUGCUCGGUCAAGAUGUUCAAUAAGCAAGUCAAAGAAUGCCUUCAACUUACGCCCUGUUAGCAAAAUUGGUUGCAAUGCUAAAGAUUAGGGUUGCAGUAGUCGAAGACGGAAAAGUGCAAGUAAAGACUAACACUUGAUCAUAAUCAUCAGUUGAGCACGAAAAAAUCUAGAUUUUAUAAGAAAAAUCGGAUUAUGAGCGCGUAUGUGAAAAGGAAACUUGAACUUAACGAUAGAGCUGGUAGUAGACCAAAUAAAAAUUUUAGUUCUUUUCACAGAAGUGCCUAUGUGGAAAAGAAGUUGGAGAAUUCAGAAAUUGCCUAUGUUGCUUCUCACAAACUUUUAUCAAUGGCAGGUGUAAAGGUAAAACAAUGCUAAAAAAAAUUAAAAUGUCUAUCAGAAACACACAUUUUAUAUGUACUUAUUUUGUUCUAGGUGAGGAGACUUCAACCACGGAUGGAUCAGAUUUUAAUAAAGUUUGAGGAGCUCUAAAAGUUGGUUUCAGCCCAUAAUUUCAACUCUGGAAAGAAAUUUGCAGUUCACUAAAUGUAUAAGUGAGAGAGAGAGUCUUUGUCCGGAUUUGAGUAAUAUUUUUUGGUUUCUCUUCCUCUCUCAUACUGAUGUAGCACAACCACAUCUCCCGGUCACAAAAAAUGUCCCUAAACCAAUGUCGCCUUAGAAUUAUUAAACUUUAUUGCUUAUAAUUUCACGUGAGUCGCAAUUUAACUCGUCAUAAAAUUGUCUGACACAAAAAUAUUUUUUCAUCUAAUUAUUUUACUUUUAAAAAGUCUAAUAUAAAGAACAACAUUAAAAUAUAAAAUAAUAAUUUAAUUUUUUUACAAUAAAUAUUUAGUUUUGUGUUUGUAUUUUUGUUUUACUCCGGAAUUUUCAAAUUCCAAACAUACAACAAUUUAUGUUGGAGGAAUUUUGUGUCAUACUCCGUCCGUCUUCAAUAGGAAGAUUAAAGUAUAAAUUUUACAAAUAUUAAAAAAAUGAAAAUAGAGAAAAAAGAAUAAAUAAAAUUUUAAAUUUCUGUUACACAAAAUUCAUAAAGUAAUGAGUACUUUUUAGGGGUAUUUGUUACAGAUCACAAUAGAUAUCCAACUAAACAUAGAUGACUAAUAUCUAAUUACACCGGUAAUAGAAAAUGAUAAUAUUGUGUCAUUUCUGUUUGGUAUAAGAUACGUGAUUACCGGUAACUAUUAUUGUGAGUCUUUGAUAUGAAUUUAAGAUUAUUGGGAAUAUUUUUUUCUUCUAAUAUUGAUCUUUUUCUAAAAUAUUAUUGUGUUAAUUUUAGUUGAAUGAUUCAACCAUAUUAUUAUUGUCAAAUGUAAUCAACAGUUAUCAAAAUACUAUCGAACUAAUUAAUUUGCAUUACUUAGUAAAUCGUAUUAAAAAUUUUAAUAUAUUUGUAAAAUAACAAUUAUUGAUUUGUUUAAUUAUUAUGCACAAAGUUUUCAAAUAUGUUGUUAAUAAUAAAUUAAAGUUAUAAUAAUAAAUAACAAACAGUGUCACAUUACUUUGUAUAAACAAUGAGUUAUUUUAGUUAAACUAAAUAUGUCGACAAAAAAAACAUAAAAUAAAAUAAAAUUACGUGACUCAUAAGGAUAUUUAUGUCUGUUAUAAAAUUAUAACAUAUAUUUAUGGAUGUCUAGAUUUAUAUUUAAUUGUAAUGAUCUUUCAUAUUUUGGAACUCCCAAGUUCAUUAAGUAACUCCUAUGUUCAUUAAGUUUUAAGCUCAUGACUUUUGAGUUUUGAAAUUUUCAAGUCCAUGUAUCUAUAAAUAAGAGCAUGAGCAUUGUAAUAGUGAAUGAGGAUGGAUAUAUAAAUGAUAUAUAUGAAAAUAUUAUGAGACAUGCCUCUUUUCUCUAAUCAUUUUAUUCUUAAUUUUAGUAAUUUUUUAUAACACGUUAUCAGCACGAAUUGUUUCUCACAUUCGUUUUGAAGAUAAUUAUAUUUGAUUUGAAGGAUAAGGUAUAUUUAUCUAUUAUACAUAUAUGGAUACACAAAUUUUUUAGUAUAACAUACUGCAUGUUAUUCUAUUCAUAAUCUAUUAUUAGAGUUUGUUGUUCUUGGUUCUAGCAUGCUAAUGACUGUCAUACUCAUAUGUAAGUCAUCAUCACACCACCCUUAAAUUGUUUUGUUGUUAUACGGUGUAAUAUCUAACCUCAAUUAUUGUGCAGUGUUUAUUUUUAUAAAAGUGUAUUGUAAUUUUGCAUUCCUUCCAGUCUAAAUAAAUCAAAAGGGAUCCGAUAGAAUAUAUGAUGUUUUAGUUCUUUUUAGUUCUCGUACUAAAACAAUCUUUUGAUAUAUUUCUAAAGAUUUUUGACAUAUUUCCUUUUGGCAUGCGUGAUAGCAUAUUUGAUAUAUUUCUAAUAACCUUUUGAAAAAUUUUUGUAUGAAGUUACAAUGACAAAUAUGCUUAGUAGUAUUGGUUUGUUAUUUUUAGUGGACAAAUUUAGUUUCGUGUUGAGUGAAAAACACUGAUGAAGACAUAUUAGAGAAAAUAUUUAUUAUAUUUCAUGCCUCGAAUAUGCUCUUGCAGUAGCAAUAUCGAGAGCGUAAGUUUACAGAAUAUUCCCUGAAGCGAUAAAGGAAACUAUGUUUCCAAAAGUGAAAUUAUGUCUUCUAGUCGCUGUACAAAAUAAUAGUUUUUGCUGAAAAACCAAUAAUCUCGCUCGACCGAUUCUAUUACAUUCCCUGAAGUGAAUGGAACCUCAUUUGAUAAUCAUAGAGGAAAUUAUGAUUAUGAUUGUGGUAUUAGACGUGAAAGGAACAAUCAAUAUAGAAAAAGGAAUGUACCUGUCGUACUCCUAAACAUUUGAUAUAUAGAUUUGUACCAAGACUCCAUAAAAGAAAAGAAAAUGGAAUUGAAAUAAACUUUAUUGUUCAUAAUGAUCCUGAAGAUCCCAUGAAUUAUUUUGACUUUUCAAAUGGAGUGGAUAUAACUAAUUUUGAUAUCUAUGGUUUCAUUGAUGAUAUGUUGAUAGAGAUGUUCAUACCAAUUAAUUAUUUUUAUUUCAUUAUAUUAUGACAUUAUAAUAAGUAUUUUUAUUAUAUAUUUUAUUUAUAUUUCAAGUGAUAAAGUUAAAUUUAUGUUUUGCAUAUAUGAAGUUGUAUGGGCCAGAAGCUCAUCAAACUUAAUUAAAGUCUCUGGAAGAGCGAUUAUAAUGUUGUCAAAAGGGCACAAAACUUUGUAUUGAUGAUUCUUUAUAUUCUUCUGAGGCAAGCAAAAAUUUGCUCAGUUUUAAGGAUAUACGUCAUAAUGGUUAUCAUAUUGAAACCAACAUUGAAGGUAGUAAAGUAAUUUCUUUAUAUUACUUCAAUACUAUCGGGCCAGAAACUCAUAUUAGAAAAAUUGUAUAUUUUCUCUUCUGGGAUAUAUUAUACUAAAAUAAGAAUAGUUGAAAUAAAUGUUAUAAUACACCAGAAGUGUUCGGAUCCAAAAAGGUUUUUAUGAUUUGACAUUCCAGGAUCAAUAAUGUUGCGUUGAAUUAUUGAAAACUCCCAUGAACAUCCCGUAAGGAACCAGAAGAUUCCUUUACUUGUUGAUUAUAUCAAAGUAAAUUAAUUACCAAUAUAUGCUUGGGGUCAUGUUAUUAAUAACCUCAAUAAGUGAUAUUUUUAAGGUAUAUUUUGAGGAUUGUUAUUUCAAUAAAACAGUCUUCCCACCAUUAGGGGGAGAAAAGUUGUUCCUGAAGCACGACGUUAGAUCGUUGCCUGAAGCACAAUGAGAGAUUAAUUGAAAUGUUUCAACGUUAUGUAAUCCUAAUUCUCAUAUAAAUCAAUAUGAACUAGAAGUUCAAAGGAUUAUUCAUUUGCAAUGAAUUGCAAAUCAAUUACUAGAAUUAUUCACCGAUAAUAAGAAAAGUGUGAUAUCUCACAUUUUAGUUGCUAAUACUCUAGAAGAGAUUGAAGUCCCUGUAGGACAAUCAGUUAAUACAUCAACAAAUUGAAUCAAAAUCACACUUGAAACAUGGAAGAAUGAUCGGUAUUAAAGAUAAAAUUUCCCAGAAUUGCAGCCUAUAAAGAGGCUAUACCCAUGAAACAGACUACAAAAUUUAUGAACAAAAUCUCCUAUAAAUAAAACUCUUGAAGAGUUAUCUCCUGAAGAGGAUGAGUUAUCCCCUGAAGAGGACCAGGUACCUGAAAAUAACGAGAUCUCGAUAUAUUAUGAAUAUAAAGGAGACGAAUAUAUUGGAUAGAAAUAAAAUUGUUGUCGAUAACAUAUUUUUAUAUAAAGUUGUUCUUGAUAUUACCAGAAGUAAUGAUCAUGAAUAUGAACCACAAAUUGUUGAUGAAUGUAGAAAUAUUUGGCCAAUGUGAAAAAAAAGGCGAUUCAAGUAGAACUAAAUUCAUAAAGUAAACGUGAAAUUUUUGGACCUGUAGACCGAACACCUGAAGGUGUAAUGCCUGUUAGAUACAAAUGGAUAUUUGUACAAAAUAGGAAAAAUAAAAUUAUAUGGUACAAAGCGCGACUUGUAGCACAAGGUUUCUCGCAGAGACCUAGUAUUAAUUAUGGAGAAACAUAGGCUCCUGUAAUGGACGCAAUUAUAUUCAAAUUUUUAAUUAGCUUGGUAGCAAAAGAAAAUUUGGAUAUAAGAUUAAUGAAUGUUGUUACAACAUAUCUGUAUGGAUCAUUAGAUAAUGAUCAUAUAUACAUAAAAAAUCCUGAAGGAUAUAAAAUGCCUGAAGCAUAUAAUUCUACAUCUCGAAGUAUGUAUUCUAUUAAAGUUACAAAGAUCUUUAUAUCAGUUAAAGCAAUCCAGAUACAUAUUGUGGUAUAAUCGCCUGAGUAGAUAUCUUUUAAAAGAAGGAUUUGAGAAUAAUCUAAAAUUGUUGUCGAUAACAUAUUUUUAUAUAAAGUUGUUCUUGAUAUUACCAGAAGUAAUGAUCAUGAAUAUGAACCACAAAUUGUUGAUGAAUGUAGAAAUAUUUGGCCAAUGUGAAAAAAAAGGCGAUUCAAGUAGAACUAAAUUCAUAAAGUAAACGUGAAAUUUUUGGACCUGUAGACCGAACACCUGAAGGUGUAAUGCAUGUUAGAUACAAAUGGAUAUUUGUACAAAAUAGGAAAAAUAAAAUUAUAUGGUACAAAGCGCGACUUGUAGCACAAGGUUUCUCGCAGAGACCUAGUAUUAAUUAUGGAGAAACAUAGGCUCCUGUAAUGGACGCAAUUAUAUUCAAAUUUUUAAUUAGUUUGGUAGCAAAAGAAAAUUUGGAUAUAAGAUUAAUGAAUGUUGUUACAACAUAUCUGUAUGGAUCAUUAGAUAAUGAUCAUAUAUACAUAAAAAAUCCUGAAGGAUAUAAAAUGCCUGAAGCAUAUAAUUCUACAUCUCGAAGUAUGUAUUCUAUUAAAGUUACAAAGAUCUUUAUAUCAGUUAAAGCAAUCCAUAUACAUAUUGUGGUAUAAUCGCCUGAGUAGAUAUCUUUUAAAAGAAGGAUUUGAGAAUAAUCUAAUUUGUGCAUGCAUUUUUAUCAAAAGAUCAUAAUAUGGAUUUGUUAUUAUUACUGUAUUUAUUGAUGAAAGAUUUUGCUCCAGAAGAGUUGACAAAAAUAACAAAUUUGAGAUGAAAGAUAUUGGUAAGACAAAUUUGUAUCUUGGCCUACAAAUUGAACUAUGGAAUUCUUGUUCAUCAAUCAAAAUACAUAAAAAAAGUCCUGAAGUAACUUUACAUGGAUAAUGUUAAUCCUUUGAGUAAUUCAAUGAUAGAUUGGUCACUUGAUAUCAAGAAAGAUUCGUUUUGAUCACAAGAAAAUAAUGAAGAAAUUCUUGGUCCUGAAGUACCAUAUCUUUGUACAAUUGGUUUCUUGGUCCUGAAGUACCAUAUCUUUCUACAAUUGGUGCUUUGAUGUAUAUUGUAAAAUUUCUCAUGACCUGAUAUAGCAUUUGCAGUUAACUUACAAGCAAUAUGGAUCAAAACCACAGUUAGUUGGAUCUGCUGAUGCAGAGAUUAUCAUAAUUUAUGGAGUAAGUUGUGAAUGUAUUUAGUUGAGAUCAGUAAUUCAACAUAUUUGUGUGAAAUGUGGAUUAUCAUUAAUCAUAAAUAGUCCAACGAUAUUAUAUGAAGAUAAUAUCGCUUGUAUCACUCAAAUUAGAGGAUGUUAUAUCAUGGGUGAUAGAACCAAGCAUAUUGCACCAAAAUUAUUUUGAGCCCCAGAAGAAUGGCGAUAUUGAUAUCAAGCAUAUAUGAUCAUGUGAUAAUUUGGUUGAUAGAUUCAUUAAGUCAUUACCAACUAUGAUUUUGAAGAAGAUGGUGCACAAUAUUGGCAUGUUUCGACUUAAUGAUAUUUUUACCAUGAACAAUGGAAAUUCUAUGUACUUAUGAAAGGAAGUAAAAAGGAUAUGUGCUGAUUGUACUCUUUUUCCUUCACUAAGGUUUUUUUUCCACUGGGUUUUUCCUUUGCAAGGUUUUAAUGAGGCAAUCCCAAGGCAUUAGAAGUUAUACAAGAAUAUUGUACUCUUUUCCUUAGCCAAAAUUUUUUUCACUGGAUUUUUAUUUGGUAAGGUUUUUAACGAGGCAUAUUCUUAGAAAAUUGCUACAAAAGGACUCCAUCCAUUAUGUAUGAAGACAAUGCUGCAUGUUUGAAGACAUUACCAACUACAAUGUUUGAAGGAUUGCGUCGCAAUAUUGGAAUGCAGCGGCUGGAGGACUUAAUGAUACAUUCAUGAGGGGGAGCUUAUACGCACUGCACUAUUUUUCCCUUAAUCAAGAUUUUUUUUUCCCAUUGGAUUUUUCUAGUAAGUUUUUAAUGAGGCAGUUUUCUAUGCGUAUG
rnacentral:lncRNA from 1 species